rnacentral:rRNA from 1 species
AACUUGAGAGUUUGAUCAUGGCUCAGAACGUACGCUGGCGGCACGCCUAACACAUGCAAGUCGAACGAAGUAGCAAUACUUAGUGGCAGACGGGUGAGUAACAUGUGGGUAUCUGCCCUUUGGCCUGGAAUAACACGAGGAAACUUGUGCUAAUACCGGAUAAGUCUUUACGGAGAAAGCUUUAUGCACCAUUGGAUGAGCCCGCACUUGAUUAGUUUGUUGGUGGGGUAAUGGCCUACCAAGACUGUGAUCAAUAGCUGAUUUGAGAGGAUGAUCAGCCACAUUGGGACUGAGACACGGCCCAAACUCCUACGGGAGGCAGCAGUGGGGAAUCUUGCACAAUGGAGGAAACUCUGAUGCAGCGAUGCCGCGUGAGUGAAGAAGGCCCUUGGGUUGUAAAGCUCUUUCGUCGGGGAAGAAAAUGACUGUACCCGAAUAAGAAGGUCCGGCUAACUUCGUGCCAGCAGCCGCGGUAAUACGAAGGGACCUAGCGUAGUUCGGAAUUACUGGGCUUAAAGAGUUCGUAGGUGGUUGAAAAAGUUGGUGGUGAAAUCCCAGAGCUUAACUCUGGAACUGCCAUCAAAACUUUUCAGCUAGAGUAUGAUAGAGGAAAGCAGAAUUUCUAGUGUAGAGGUGAAAUUCGUAGAUAUUAGAAAGAAUACCAAUUGCGAAGGCAGCUUUCUGGAUCAUUACUGACACUGAGGAACGAAAGCAUGGGUAGCGAAGAGGAUUAGAUACCCUCGUAGUCCAUGCCGUAAACGAUGUGUGUUAGACGUUGGAAAUUUAUUUUCAGUGUCGCAGCGAAAGCGAUAAACACACCGCCUGGGGAGUACGACCGCAAGGUUAAAACUCAAAUGAAUUGACGGGGACCCGCACAAGUAGUGGAGCAUGUGGUUUAAUUCGAAGAUACGCGCAGAACCUUACCAACACUUGACAUGUUCGUCGCGACUUUAAGAGAUUAAAGUUUUCGGUUCGGCCGGACGAAACACAGGUGCUGCAUGGCUGUCGUCAGCUCGUGUCGUGAGAUGUUGGGUUAAGUCCCGCAACGAGCGCAACCCUCACUUUUAGUUGCCAUCAUUAAGUUGGGCACUCUGAAAGAACUGCCAGUGAUAAGCUGGAGGAAGGUGGGGAUGACGUCAAGUCCUCAUGGCCCUUACGUGUUGGGCUACACACGUGCUACAAUGGUAUCUACAACAGGAAGCAAGACUGCGAAGUUAAGCAAAUCCCUAAAAGAUACCUCAGUUCGGAUUGCACUCUGCAACUCGAGUGCAUGAAGCUGGAAUUACUAGUAAUCGUGGAUCAGCGUGCCACGGUGAAUGCGUUCCCGGGUCUUGUACACACCGCCCGUCACACCAUGGGAGUUGGUUCUACCUUAAGGCAAGGUUUAAAACCCUUGACCACGGUAUAGUCAGCGACUGGGGUGAAGUCGUAACAAGGUAGCCGUAGGGGAACCUGCGGCUGGAUUACCUCCUU